rnacentral:lncRNA from 1 species
AUGCUUACUGCCAACUUGGCAUGUGAAACAGUCGCCGGACAGGGAAUUUACCCGAAAGACUCCCUCUCCCACCGCCACAUGGAAGCUACUUCAAAAACUCUCAGUCGACCAACUUCUUGAAGAGCACACUACCUGAUUUUGGUUACGGUACACCAAUGCCCGCUUACAAUGCACCGAUAGACGAUAAUCAUGUAUUCUUCUUCUAGCACAUUACUAAACAACUUGUAGGAUCGUCUCUGAAGCUAAUAGUUUCUCUUUAAUUGAUCAGAUUUGCCCAAUUUGCCUCAGCAAUUCCAAAGAUAUGGCAUUCAAUUGUGGCCAUCAGGUAAUGUUCUAAUCGCGCUAUUUGCUUAUGUUUGAUAGUUGUCUCAUUUGUCUGAAUUCUGGAAACUAUGCAGACAUGCUGCGAGUGCGGCAAGACGCUAGAUACCUGUCCUAUCUGCCGGAGCAACAUCACAAGCAGAAUCAAACUUUACUGACUUCCCCAAUCUUCCGAUAGUCUCUGGUUCUGUCCAUAAGUGUAUACACAGAAUUGUGUAUAAAAUUUGUGGGAAAAGAUAUAAUAAGAGAAGUUUGAGCAGAUAGAUAGAUGAUUUAAAUUAAAUUAGUUACUCUUUAGUCAGUUACAAAAUGCAGAGCAACGAAGCAGCAGAAGACACAUUUGCCACCCUCCUCCGUAAUUGCACAACUCUUCCUAUUCUCCGGCGACUCCAUGGCCGUCUCCUCCGUCAUUCCCUUCACCUUAAUUCAUCAUUAACUUCCACUGUUAUCACACUCUACGCCAACCUCGCCACCCCACUUCACUCUCUCCGUGUUUUCUCCUCCAGUCUGACAGAAAUUCCAUCUCUUCUCCUUUUCACCACAACCAUCCGUACUAUCUCCAAAACCCAACCUUUUCACGCUCUCCGUCUCUACCGCCAACUUCUCCACCUCCGUCUCUCCCCUGACAAUCAUACCUUCCCCUUUCUCCUAAUCGCCUGCUCCAAACUACCAUCUUUACUCAACGGGUCCGAACUUCACGGGAGAAUUCUGAAAACAGGGUUCUUUAAUUGCUUGCAUGUCAGCAACCCAUUGAUCGACAUGUAUGGCAAAUUCGGAUUACUUGGGUUUGCUCAGAAGGUGUUUUACGACAUGCCCAUAAAGGAUGCUGUCACUUACAACGUGAUUUUGGGUGGUCAUGCAAGAUUGGGAGAGAAGAUGGCUGUUGCGAGAGACCUGUUUGAUGAAAUGCCGGAACGAAGUUUGAUUGCCUGGAACGCCAUGGUUGUUGGGUAUGUGAGAAGUGAUGAUUUGAAGGCGGCAAGAGCGAUGUUUGAUGAGAUGAAUGUAAGGAAUCUGGUGACAUGGAAUACGAUGAUUAUUGGGUAUGUGAAGAAUGGAAUGGUAGAUGAUGCACGAGAGAUGUUCGAUGUUAUGCCUGAUCGGAAUUUGGUAUCUUGGGCAACGAUGAUCUCUGGUUAUGCACAGAGUGGAAAACCAAAUGAGGCGUUGGAGGUUUUCAAUGAAAUGCAAACUCGAAUAACAUCUUCUCCCGAUGCCGCUACUAUGAUCGGCGUCAUCUCGUCAGUGGCUCAAUUAGGUGGCAAUGAACUCGCCGACUGGAUUGAAUCCUACGUCGAUAGAAAUGGUAUCGAAAGAAACCAGAGAAUCCUCACCGGACUUGUCGACAUGCACGCAAAAUGUGGAAACUUAGAAAAAGCUCGCCGUAUUUUCUCCGAUAUCCAUUCCAAAGAUCUCUUAUCUUACACAGCUCUCAUAAUCGGCUUAGCAGCACACGGCCAUGGACACGAAGCACUUGAACUCUUCAGCACCAUGGAAGCAGACGGUAUCACUCCAGACAGAGUCACAUUCAUCGGCGUACUCAAUGCAUGCCGACACACAGGUCUCAUUGACUCUUGUCUGAAACUCUGGGAUAAGAUGGUAAAUCAGUUUGGAAUAACACCUGAUUCCGAUCAUUAUGCCUGUGUCAUCGACAUGCUUGGAAGGUCCGGGAGGGUUGAAGAAGCUUAUCAACUUGUGAAAAAUAUGUCAGCAAUAACCGGUGCCAAACCGCACGUCGGAGCUCUUGGUGCCGUACUUGCAGCGGCGUGUAGAAGUUCUUUGAGUGAGGUUCGCACGGCAGAGGCCGUUGCCCAAGAGUUGUUUGUAUUGGAACCGGAGAAUACUGGAAAUUAUAUUCUCCUUUGGAGCUUGUACGCUUCCAGAGGUGAGUGGACCAAAGCAGAGCUUCUCCGGCGAUCUAUGGAUGUCAAAGGGAUGACCAAGCUUCCUGCUUACAGUUCAAUGUAGUAAAUAAUGUAAUGUUGUAGAUCAGUCCGGUUCAAUCAUAGCAAUAAAAAAGAUCCGUUUAAAUUACAAUUUGUUCACAAGGGAUCCGAAUAUAUGGAUCCGUUUAAAUUCUAUUGAUAUUUUCCCACCUGUUCCGGUAGCUACUGGGGGGUGUUGCUGGCAUUUUUGUCUCUCGAUCGCCGAAGUUUGGGAGCCGCUCAUUUGGCGAUUCCAACGCCGACCAUGUUGAGAUAUCUGCGUCAGAUUUCGGGUAAACCAUUUUACAGACUGUUCAGCAUAUUGACAAAUUCGUUAUUACUGAAAAAGUGAUAAGUUUCUUGUUCUUCUUUCCCUUUUGAUUCUUGAAUUACUAGUUCAUCACCAGUUUGGGAAACACCCAUUGGCUGUUUUCUCUACUGGUCGUUUCUUUGCUGAUUUGGCGGAUGGCAGUAGUCAUUCCGCUGCUCAAAAUGAGACUUACUUGAAGAGGAAUUACGCUGAUAAUGUUUCUGAGUAUAACACUGUUCUUAACUCACUGAUUUCCCAGAGAAGGUAAAGAUUCUGGUUUUUUUCAUUGGGUUGUUAAUUGUUUGUUGCUUGGGCCUUGCAUUACUCCAACUACAGCACUGAAUACUUGUUUGUAAGAUUAGUUAGGGUUCUGGGUUUUGAAUUAUUGCAUUGUUUGUUGGCUGGUUUUAUUAGGUAUUAUUUGCUUAGAGAUGUUUAUGAUGACAUGAUUCUUGAUGGAGUCCAGCCGAUACGAGACACGUUUCACUCCCUUUCUAUUGGGGCCAUGAAGCAAAGUAAACUCCAGGAUGCUUUCUUUUUCCGGGAUGAAAUGAAGACCAUGGGCAUCAGUUCUGAUGUAUUACCUUCUUUUGAUAUUCUCUCUUUGAAGAAUUUUUUUUUAUUGUUAUUCGGCGAUUUUUUUUUGCUUUAAAUCUUAAAGCCAUGGUUUCUGUCUUUGUUUUUAAAAUUAAAUAGUUUCUAUUGCUGUUUAUUCUAUCUGUCUUCACUCUUCAAUGUAGGUUGUUGUCUACAACUACAUGAUCUCAGCAUGUGCGAAAUGCAAGAAUUCUGACAUGGCGGUUAAGGUAAUCCUUUUUUCCAUUCUCCAAAUUAUCCUGGAUUAUUUAUUUUCGAAAAUUUGCUCGCUAGUAUUUUGAUAUUUUAGAUAUUUUUUUGAAUAUCUAAUCUCCAUCUUUUUUAUUCUUUCUUGAAGCUUUUGGAGGAAAUGAAGAAGUGCGGUGUGAAGCCAAAUGGGCAGACCUACAUCUGUCUUUUAAAUGCUUUUGCUUCAACUGGCCGUAUCGAUCGGGUGUAUGCUUUUAAAUUACCAUCUUUUGUACUGACCAUGAUCUUAAGCUUUGACAUUCUUUAUAGAACAUAUAUUUCAAUUUUCAAAACAAUAUAGGUAUGCAAUCGUCCGUGACAUGACAGCAGCUGGUUUAGGAUUAAACAAGUACUGCUAUGCCGGUCUUAUUGCUGCACAUAAGAACAAAGUUCCUCAUACAGACGAUACAUGUAAUAAAGUACGUGGUUCAUUUCAUAAUAUUCGAAUAAAAAAUGAAAAAAAUAUUAUGAUGUGUUUUGAUGAAAUAUUCUAAUAACUUGUAUUUUAUCAAAAGAUUAUAGAUCUUGUCAAGCAAUCCAAGGGAUGGUCGUCUGUUGAAACUUUACCUAACGCUGCGGAAAAUGAUAUGGUGGGUGUUUCCGAGGAAGAACUCUAUAACAUCCCAACAGCAGAUUAUGUCUUUAGAAGAGGGUUUCUGAAUAGAUCACACACAGUUUAUCAUGUUGCUUCUCUAGCCUGUGCUGAUUUACAUAGUGUUGAGGUCCGUGUUUCUCUCUCUCUCUUUUUCAUUUUUUCCAGUUUUUUUUGUAACUAAUGUUUUACAAUAUAUUAAUUCCAGCUCAAUAUUUUAUUGACCUUUCAUAUUUAGACAUUGGAAACAAUUCUUGAGAUGCUCAAACAGGAUGGAACUACUCCUGAUGUAUUUACAGUCAUUCAAACAUUAAGGUAUAAAUGUAUGAUAUUUUCGGGUGGCAUUUCAGGUCUUUGAAUUUGUUGGAUCAUUCAAUACAAAUAUAUCUGUCCAUUUAUAUUUUUUUGUUGCUAUGUAAUAUGUUAAAAAAAAUUCAAGGUUUGUGGUGUGAUUUAGGUGUUACUUGAACUGUGGGGACAUUGACCAUGCUGUCCAAGUCUUUGAGGAUCAUUUGGCUAAUAGGCUGCCUAAUGUAGAACUUUAUAUUGUAAGUAAUUCUGUUAGACUGGUCUCAUUUUUUGAAUAUGUUUCUGGUAAAUAUUUAGAAAAUUAACCUAUUUUAUCUGGCUAUCUCCAGAUAUAAUGUAUUGAUAUAAAAUAUAUAAUAAAUCGCAUGGCCAUCUCGAUAAUGAUAUCAGAAUAAUUCAUGAUUUCAUAGUUAUUUUUAAUAUUAAGAUGCCUUUAAGAUGUGUUGUUUCUUGAAUUGUGCGUAGGCUUUAGCUUAUGGAGCUAUGAAAGGCAAUACUCCUCAUGGAAUGCAAGUUGCUCAGGAUACGUUGGUAAAUUUUUGUAUAAUAUAUAUAGUAUUAGGGAGAAGAAAUUGUUUUGAUUUUUGUAAAUUUUUGUAUAAUAUAUAAGGCCCCCAGAAGUUUUCAGCAGAAAAAUUAUAAAGGAUGUGAGCAUUGCAUAUGAUUCUACAUCCUAUAAGAAGCACAAUCUUUCACAGAUUGAAACACAAGCUAUACGUUCAUGGGAGUCCAACCUCUUGAGGCUUCAGUCCUUGGCCAGUUAGUCAGGGUCAUAGCUGUAUAAGAGAUAGACAAUGUUUUUACAUUUACUGUACUUGCAUUUCCGGAUUUCCCUAUAUUCUGUAAUCUUGGGCUAUGCCCAACCUCUUUUUCAGUAAUGAAAGUUUUAAUUUCUCAAAACAAAAAGAAGAAGAAAAGAAAUGGUUUUGAUUGGAAAAUUACAAUUAAACAGGAGAAAUUCAACUCCAAAGGCUAUUUCUUAAAUAUCUGGCAGGGCAGUGCACUCCUUCUUGCAGCUUCAGGGGAAGAGGUAACUCUAUUUUAUUGUACUCUCUAACUCUUAGAAGUAAGAAUGAUAAAUGCGUUUCGAUUUUAAACACUAAAUUAAAAUUCUUGGUGAAUUUUUAUUUUACUUUGUUUUUGAAAUGUCUGUUCUUUGGUAUAUAGAGUGGUGGAUUUACUACUGCAAAUUAUAUAUGGGAUUUAAUGGCAAGCCGUAGGACCUUCCCAGCUUUUCAUGCAAUGGAAGCUUAUCUCAAGGGUUUAAAGGUAGUUCUAUAGACAUGAAUUAUCAAAAAAAUAUGAUUGUAUAAUCAACUCUUAUUUUUCUAAUUGCACUUCAGAAAAGGGAGAUACCAGCUGAUGAUCCCCGUCUCUUGUUGGUGACCCGAAUGUGUGAUAAUCAUCGAGGUAGAUUCGGAACAGGACCGCCAGUCCAAAUGAUCAAUAAUUCAUUAUGGUAGAUCAUAGUAAGAUCGUUUAAAGUUGAUGCCCUUUACUACAGUCAGAAUCUUAUCAACAACUGCAUGUAGAUUUUACUCUGUUAGUUGAAACAUCGUAAUCUUCAGUAGGUAAAAUCUUAUCAACGAACGGUGUGUCUUUUAAACUUUGUUCUUUCAUUCUUUGUUGGGAUCCUUGUUUUUUGCUCUAACAAGUUACAUGACUAAAUUCCAUAGUCGACCGAUGUUUAAUUAUUUAUCUGUGUUUGGCGAUUGGUUAUUAUUUGAUUCAGUCCAAACACUGGUGAAACAACCUGAUUAUUUGAUUCAUUUUUCUAGCAAAUCCACUGUAAAUUUUUUUUAGGGUAGGUACAAAAACUGUUGCACAUUGAUAUUGUGUUAUUCCACAUUCAUGAUAAGUUUGUUCAUGUAUGUUCUUAUGUUUCCAAAUCCUCAUCAUCAUUUUAGCAAUCCAGCAUUUUAUAUGUUGAGUUGAUAAAUGAAAACAUCAAUGCUAUGGCUGGUUUAAAUUAUUAUAUACAUUUUUUUCUUUUUAUAUCUAUUCUGGGGUCUCUCAGUUUCACUGAGAGGCAAUUGGGGUUUGGGCAGUUGUGUUUUUCAUUAAUUGAUAUUUUUGUCUGUUUUAUACAACUUGGAUAUCUUCAUGUUUGUCAUUUUCAGUCCUUUUAAUUCUUUUAAGUAAGUAUUUCCAGUUUCCCACAUUUGGAGAUUACAACCAUAAAUUGCCCCCUUAAACCCUAAUUAUGGAGAGAGUUUGUGCCUUUUUUCUGGGUUUUUUAAUUCUGUAAAAUUUGGGCAGUUGGGGUUUGGGCAGUUGUGUUUUUCAUUAAUUGAUAUCUUUCUAUUUUAUACAACUUGGAUAGUUGGAUACCUUCAUGUUUGUGUCAUUUUCAGCCCUUUUAAUUCUUUCAAUCAAGUAUUCCCAGUUUCAACCCUAAAAUGCUACCUUAAACCCUAAUUAGGGGGAGUUUUUAAAUGCUGUGAAAUUUCUAAUCCUUUGAUAAAAUGUUUUAAUGACCAUAAUAUACAAAGAAUUUUUUUUCAACCGUCGAUUACUGUUUUAACGACCAUGAUUUAUAAUAAUGAGUUGGUUGUUACAACUUACAACGAUAGCGAUUGAAAGGAUAUAUAAAUAUAUUAUUUUAUUAUUUUAUUAAUUAUUAAUUUAUUAUCUAGUAUUGAAUUAUUGAUUUAUAAUAUAAUUUAAAAAUAUGACGUCAUGAUAUGACGUAAUCAUCUUUCUUACUCGUUCCUGGGAACGAAACGGACCUGCAUGCCAUGCUUCAUGUACAGAGUUGUGGUGAGCUUUGGGCAGAUUUCCUGACCGUCGACCGGACGAACGGAGUACCUUAAGAUGAUGGCGGAGGCGACCAUCUUCAUCUGCAAAUACGCGAAGUUCUUACCGACGCAAAGUCUUGGACCGGCAUUGAAAACGGUGUACUUGAAGUGACUCUCGCCGGAGAAUUUACCUCCAUUCUUCAACCAACGUUCUGGUACGAACUCAGUGCAGUCUUUGCCCCAGAUCUCCUCCAUCCUACCCAUGGAGUAAAUAGAGUACAUCACUCUUCCACCUUUCCGUACCGGAGAUCCAUCGGGAAGCACAUCGUCGGCGAGAACUUCCUUGAAGUCGAUUGGCACUGAUGGGUAUAAUCUCAGCCCCUCCGACAACGCCGCCUGAAUAUUAUUUCAUCAGUUUAUAAUUCAUCGUUAUUGAUGAUUUGAUGAUGAGAUAUAUCAUUGAUAUGAUCGAUAUACCUGGAGAUAAUUCAUCUUCUUCAGCUCCUCGAUGGAGAAGACGACUUCGUCGUCGGGAAUUUGGAUGUCACGGAGGUUGAUUAUGUCAUGGAGCUCUUCGAGUAUGUUGGAUUCAACUCUAGGGUUCUGUUCAAGAAGCCAGAAGAACCACGUCAGCGCAACGGAGCUGGUGUCACGGCCGGCGAGGAUGAAGCUGAUGCAGAAAUCCUUGAUGAACUUCUCCGAGAAUCGUAGGUUUCCGGCACUGGUUCUCUGUUCUUCUUCAACGAGACGAGACAGAAGAUCGAAUUUUUCAUUGGAUCCUCUUGAUUCAUUCAGUUCAGUUCUCCGAUCACUCACGGUCUUAUCGACGAACUCAUGUACCUGUUCGAUUGCAGAACGGAGUUUCUUCUCCGUUCCGACGUUCAGUGCUUUCAAGAUUCUCCAGACAAACGGUGGCACGAUGAAUCGGAACAGAGUCAGCUCCGUCGCAUCCUCGAACGCCUUCGCAAACGGUACCACCGGUAAUACCUCAUUUUGAUUUACAGUCAAACAACCAGUGUCCACCCCAAACGCGGCGGCGGAGAUAUUAUCAAAAGUGAACCGGAGGAAAACAUCUUGCAGAUCGAUAGAGUCAGGUACCAUCUUUAGUAAUUUAAGAAGCUUACCGUGAACUAACUCCGUCAUCGUCCUCGCCGAGAAAGCCACGAAUCUCGACGAGUGCAUCUCGAAGCUCGCCGUUUUCCUCUGCUCCUUCCAACUUUCAUCGUCGGCGUUGAAUAUUCCGUCUCCGAGGAAAUCAAUGAAUCUCUCCCGAAAAUACCUUCCCUUGGGGAAAUUGGCGAAGUUGGUCUUCAGCAUAUACUCCACAUUGGCCGGAUCGGAAGUCACCACACCAUGAGCACCGCAGAAACUUGCACCGUGGUAAGGAAAAGUACCACCACAUCGCCGGAGAACCUCCGUUACCCAAUCAUAAAUAUGAUCAAGGUUGAUAUACAGAGUCGGUAAGAUCCCCAACACUGGCCAUAGCAUUGCUCCUCUAUUUCUCGCCGCCAGUUUUCUCUGUUUUAUGACACUCAUUAUAAGAAUUGCCACAACCGCCAUUACCACAUCCAUAGCUUUUAACUCUGAUACCAUGCUAUACAACUUCAUCUUCAUACCAUGCAUAUUCUAAUAGCCUGUGAUGUGGUCAUAUUUAUAUGCUCUGAAUGACAACUUAGAUAUAAAUCAUUAGUUGUAACUAUUAAAAUUCUUAAACGUAAAUGGUUCGGAUCAAGCUGUCUACUUUGAUUAAAUUUUAAUUAUACGAUUUCUAAAAGUAAAUGAUUCGAAUCUCGCUUUGUACUUUGAUUAAAUUUUAAUUAUGAAUACAGUAAGAUUAACGUAAAUACGCAACUGGUCACAGUAACUAUUACGAUUUCUGAGGGUAAAUGAUGUGAAUCUCGCUGUGUACUUUGAUUAAAUUUUAAUAAUGAAUACAGUGAGAUUAACGCAAAAAAUACGCAACUGGUCACAGUAACUAUUACGAUUUCUGAGGGUAAAUGGUGUGAAUCUUGCUGUGUACUUUGAUAAAUUUUAAUAAUAAAUACAGUGAGAUUAACGCAAAAAAUACGCAAUUUCUGAGGGUAAAUGAUGUAAAUUUUAAAUAUGAAAACAGUGAGAUUAACGUAAAUACGUAACUGGUGACAAUAACUAUUAAGAUUUCUGAGGCUAAAUGAUGUGAAUCUGAUGUGUACUUUGAUUAAAUUUUAAUUAUGAAAACAGUGAGAUUAAUGUAAAUACACAACUGGUUACAAUAGGGUAAAUGAUGUGAAUCUCGCUGUAUACUUUGAUUAAAUUUUAAUUAUAAAUACAGUUAGAUUAACGCAAAAAAUACGCAACUGAUCAUAGUAACUAUUAAGAUUUCUGAGGGUAAAUGAUGUAAAUUUUGCUGCGUACUUUGAUUAAAUUUUAAUUAUGAAUACAGUGAGAUUAACGCAAAAAAUACGCAAAUGGUCAUAAUUAAUAACUAUUAAGAUUUCUGAAGGUUCAUGGUCUGUGUUUCGUUAUGUUUAAAUUUUCAUGUUACCAGUGAUAUAUUAUGUUUCUCUGAUUUAAUUAUCACCAAAAGAUAGACAUUUUUAUAUUAUGCAGAGAGAUUCUCUACGUUAUAAAAAAAAUUACUACGAUUUAACUGAUAAUAUAUUAUAUGACUCUGGUAUAUCCAUUAAAGGUGGAUAUUUUUUACAGACUAUCUAUGUUACAUCUUGGCCAUCCAUCGGACGAGAUAAAUACAGUUACAAAAGUUGAAUUCUUACCUAGAUCGCUUUCAAUGAAAAACAACAACCAUUCUAAGAUAUUGGGUUUAAUUUGUUGGGGAAUAAACAAUUUUAAUUUUGUUAGUUGUUAGGUUUCCCUCUUUGGGAAGGGGUUAUGCAUGGUACACCAACAAUAAUCAAUGCAUUUUAAACUAAUUAUAUGAAGAAAUUAUCUUUAAAGGGUCAACUGGUCUCUUUCAAUGUACAGAAACUUUUUUGGAGUGUUUGACCAGGGUAGAUGCAACAACUAACCAUUGAGAAUUAAUAAGUGUUAUGUACAGUCCUAUCAGACGUGAACAAGAUUAGACGAAUUAUCACUGAAGAAUUAGGCUUGGACAAAGAGAUCAUUGGAGCGGACGUUGACAUUGACCAUAUCGGCGUACAAGUGGAGUACGUCCACCAGUCCAGGGAAGAGACCCAUAGUCCAAAGUAGUUGAAUGGUUAUUUAUAUAUAAUGUUGUAAUAAACUCAACCGGUAAAUAAAGUAUCAUGGAUGGAAGGUAGGUAUUGUGAAUUUGAACAACUAAUUCUUCUUAAAAUCCCAAGCUCCUUAGGAAGAUUAUCCUUCUGAUCACCCCUCAACUUCUUUUUCUUUCACUCGAGUGCAAAUAGCUGAUCAGUCUUUCAAAGGAAGACUGUUACAGGAAGCUAACCGAAUAUAUCAGACGUAAUUGAUUUUCUUAAUGCGACGACAUUAAAUCCCAGUAUCUUUAUCUCCUAUAUACCCAGACGUAUAAUUCUACACGACUAGGGCAAAAAAGAAAUCUUCUUUUAUGUCUGGCGUAGUUAAAUCGUAGUAAAAAUCUAAUAAAAUACGACUCAUGUUCGUGGAUAUAUUCUCAGAAACUUUAAUAGUUAUUGUGAACAGUUAAGUUGAUCUUUUUGUUCAUAUAUAAGUUUGGAUUAGGUCUUUGAUAAAUUUGGAUCAGUUGGUAGAGGUAUAUUUAUGAUCUAACUGUUUUUAUCGGUAAGCACCAAAUCAUGUAAGAGAACAAUAAAUGUUUUGAAUUUUGAUACCAAAUUGUCAAAACAAAUGAUAAAUGUCAAUGUCAAUUGUCAAACUAAUUUAAAUUUCAUAUCCAAAUGGAACUAAAUCUAGACCUAUUUCUGAUUUCAAAUAAAAUAUAGUAUACAAGUGUAGUGUUUGUGUGAUCCAAGUUUGACUAUUAGAGUUUGAUUGUUAAAAUGUUUGUCUUUCUACUAAAUUAAUAAAAGUAUGAAGACUUGGUUUUGAUUUAAUUUAUUCAAAUUAUGGUUAACAGUGUGAUUAAUUCAACUGUUCACGGUAAUAUAUCAAACGCAAUUGAUUUUCUUAAUGCAACGACAUUCAAUUCCAGUAUCCCUAUCUCCUAUAUAUCCAGACGCGUCGAUCUACACGACUAGGGCAAAAGAGAAAUCUCCUUUUCUGCCUGACCCAGUUAAAUCGUAGUAAAAAUCUAAUAAAAUAUGACUCACUCAUGGAUUCUGAGAAAUUUUAAUAGUUAUUGUGAACAGUUAAGUUAAUCUUUUUGUUCGAUCAUAUAUAAGUUUGGAUUAGGUCUCUGAUAAAUUUGGAUCAGUUGAUAGAGUUAUAUUUAUGAUCUAUCUGUUUUUAUCUGUAAAUACCAAAAGAUGCAAGAGAGAUAACACUUGUGCAAUAAAUGUUUUAAAUUUUGAUACCAACUUGGCAAAAUAAAUGAUAAAUGUCAAUGUCAAUUGUCAAACUAAUUUAAAUAUCAUAUCCAAAUAAAACUAAAUCAAUUACAAAGUAAGAUUAACUCACUAGUAUGAGAAACUAUUAAGGUUUCUGAGACUCAAUGUUCGAAUCUUAGUUUGUAUAUUUUCAUUUAGAUUUAUCCGAUGAUAUAUUAUAUAGUUCUGAUAUAUCAUCCGAAAACUGACAACUUUACAUUUAUAAAGAGAUACCAUGCGUUAUCCAAAAAAAAGUGAUUCAAGUUUGACUAUUAGAGUUUGUUUCAGUUCAGUUCAUUUGUGACUUGUUAAACUGUUUUUCUUUCUACUAAAUUAUUAAAAGUAUGAAGACUUGGUUUUGACUUAAUUGAUUCAAAUCAUUUGUUUACUAUUAUGGUUAACUGUGCGAUUAGUUCAACUGUUUACAUUAUUAAAGUUUCUAAUAAUCCAAGGUAAGAAAUAAGAUAUCAUAUAUAAGAUAUCUUGUGAGAUAUUCUCGCUGUGUACGUAAUUUUCAUUUAAUUUUCACUACGAUAUAACCGAUGAUAUAUUACGUGACUCGGGACAAGGGAUGGCAAUUGUCUCCCUAAAAGUUAUAAAAAUCGAGGACCUAUAUGUAAUAUUUUUUUUAUAAGGGGUUAAAUGUAUUUUUCACAAUAUAUUAAUAUUUUAUAAGGGUUAAUAUAUAAAUUUCACAAUAUUUUUCUCUCUCCCUUUAAAUCUUCUCCCCCUCUUCUCCCCCGUUUUCCCCCAAAUCCCUAAUCUUCUCCGCCCUCCGGGAAUCUCUUCUUAGAUUCUUCACUGUUGUUGCUGCCUUGCUGGAAAUCUCUUCUCCAGUUCUCCCUCCGUUGCUACUUGCUGGAUUCUCUCAUUUCUCUGGUAUUUAUUUGUUGAAUUGUUGAUCUUGUUUGUUGUUUUUACAUAUUAUUUGGGUCUGAUGGAUAUGAUACGAUGGUGAUGGUCUGAUGGAUUUUAUUGAUGUUUGAUUUAGUUAGUUGAUUAGUCCUCAUAUGAAGUUAGGUUCUCCGGUCUGAAUAUGAAGUUAGAACUCACAUGUUAAUGUUCUGUUUUUGAAAAAAAAAAGCACAUUAAGAGAUUUUCUUUUCUUUUCAUCUUCCCAUAUAUAUUCAAGUUUGGGAAUGUUGAAAAUUGACGGCGGUAUUGUUCCUGAUAGAGUGUUGAAACUCAAAUCCCUAAAAAAUUUCCAAGGAUGUGAAUUUAAUGAUUUUAUAUUUAUGAAAUGUGUUGUUAAAUAAAUGGAGAGUAUAAAAAAUAUAAAAUUUACAGAUAUGACAAAUUUUCAAAUUCUCCAAUGCUGGAUCCUGGAUGGAAUCGUACCAACUAUUCUAGUGUUUCUUAAAAUCCUAUUAUCAUUCAAACACAGCUAAAAUAUAAGUAUUAUGUAAAUCAAAAAAAUAUAGAUAGAUAGAUCAUAUAUAGAUGAAUCUUUCUUAAUGGUUUAGGGUUAAUAUAUUGAAUAAUGAAUAUUCCUAAAUCAAUUUGAAUAUUAAUUAAUGUAUUGAUUAUUAAUUAUGGAAUGAAUGUAUUGAGUUUUUAUAGGUUUUUAUAAUCUAUUUUAUAAAUAGGUCAUGCCAAAAAAUUUAUAGGUUUUUAAAUUAGUACAAAAAAAAUUAGAGAAGAGUUAUAGUGUUCUUUUUGUUAUAUUUCCAGGCAUUAGAAUUAUUGUAUUUCAAGUGUGUAAAUCGAGUUCGGAUUCGAGUUUGGUUUUUUCAAGUUUACUGAGUUGGAGUUUAUUAGUAUGAAAUCGCGAACUUAGAAAUAGACAGGCUUUUGGUAAAAUCACUAAAAUAGUUAUCAUUGAUUAUAGUGUAAUAGAAAUAACAGAAUCAGUUAUCUCUAAACUUGCAUCAAUAUGCUAUUAGGACAGUAAAGAGAGGCAUGUCUUCUUGAUACCCUCACCUAAUUUUCUAAAUCGUCUGUUAAAGUUCAAUGUUUCGAAUUGAGUUAAUGUGUUGAUUGUUAAGUACGAGUAUUUCCAGUAAAACUCGAUCCAAUUCAACUCCUCUGCACCCUUUAAUAAAAACUGAUUGGGAUGAGCUUAUGAUUUUUUCUUCCAACUAAAAUUCAGGAAAGAUGAGAUGUUGGUGGAUCUUGCUAGAGUAGACAAAAGAAGGUAAAAUCUUUCCUUGUCUGCUAAAUGCUCAUGUUGGAUCAAGUGAUGCUGUGUAUAUGAAUAGUUUGAGAAAAAGGGAGUCUUGAGCAAGUGAUAUGAAUUCUAAAGUAAUUAGGGAUUUUAUUUGAUGAUGAAGCGUGUUAGAUCAUUUAUUCAUCCCCAAAAACGAUCUUUUAUUUAUUUAUACACGUAUUUGGAUUUUUUUUUAUUUCACGAUUUUAAUUUCUUUAAUUUUUAUAUAUACAGUGAUUAAAGUGCGUACACCGAAAUACAAGAAAUUGGCAAUGAUUUACACUGCUAUUGACACGUUCUACCUCACUGACGAGCAGCUGAGCAAUUCUCCUUCCAGAAAAGAUGGAAUUGAUGAGUCAACUGAGACAAAUCUCCGGAUAUAUGGCUGCGAUCUUAUUCAGGAGAGUGGAAUCUUGCUUAGAUUGUAUCCUUUACGACAUGUCAUGAUUUAUUAAACUUCAGUCAGUUCAGUAUUUAUACUGAGAAUUUUUUUAUAUCUUUCCUGGUUUAUGUUAUCAUAUGUUUCCCUUAAUUCCAAUAGGCCUCAAGCGGUGAUGGCCACUGGCCAAGUGCUUUUCCACAGGUUCUAUUGCAAGAAGUCUUUUGCUCGCUUUGGUGUUAAGGUAUUGAGACAUUAUAAAUUUAUAACCCACACGAUCAUUUUAUUUGUGACAUUGAGGGAAGACAACCAUAUGGAAUGUUUCAAUAUGUUAAAAAAUAUAUGUCAUGUAUUCAGACUUCUGAAUAUUUUGAAUUGUGAUUACUUGCAAAUUGCCAACUGGCACAGUCAUUCAGGGAUGCUGAUCGCUGAAUAAAUUUAAAUUAAUGCUGCAAUUUUGCAUUGAUUUUUUUUAUUAAGAAUGUUUGGUAUGUUUAAAAGUGCUGCAAUGUGUUUUAUUUCAUAAUUUAAUUUAAUUUAAUUUUUUUAAUUUAUUUAUUCUGCAUACAAUUGUUUUUCCUUGUAGAGAGUUGCUGCAAGUUGUAUCUGGCUAGCUUCAAAGCUAGAAGAAAGUCCUAGAAAAAUGAAGCAUAUUAUCUUAGUUUUUCAUAGAAUGGAAUGCAGGAGGGAAAAUUUGUCGGUGGAGCAUUUCAACCUUUUUUCAAAGGUUAGUCUUUGUAAGCACUAAGCAGGCAUAUUCAUAUGGUAUUGAUGUAUUGCACAUUACAUUUAUGUUAUCUCUGUAAUUUUGGGUCAAGAUAUUUGAUUAGAUUGUUUGGAAUGUUUUCUGCAAUGUUCUUUUCUAUGGUUUUAAAUUUUGAUACACGUGGUGAUAAUUUUACCGUUAAUUUUAAAUAUAAAGUAAAUUCUAAUUUUGUAAAUUACCAACUGCACUAUUUUACUGCACUAUGGUUUUUUUACUUGUAUGAUCAAUCAUGACAUUAUCUGAAUUGUUAUCAGUUAUUACUUAUUCUGUUAUUAAUUGCUUUAAACAUUUAAUAUUUUUAUUUUUUUGUCUUUUUUAUGUACUCUUCUACAAAAACUAAUGAUCUCAGACUCUCUGUUAAUUAUUAAAAAAAAAAAUUUAAUAUCUUAGUAAAUGUGUUUGUUUUUUAUAUAGAGGUACUCAGAGCUGAAGGGUCAUCUCAUCAGAAAUGAACGACAUUUGCUUAAAGAAAUGGCAUUUGUCUGCCAUGUUGAACAUCCUCAUAAAUUUAUAUCAAACUACCUUGCUGCACUUGAGGCCCCUCAUGAGUUGAAGCAAGAAGCCUGGAAUCUAGCAAAUGAUAGGUAUUGCUUUAUAUUUUAUUUGUCUUUUUUCAUUUAUAAUUUGUUUACCAUUCUAUCCAUUUAUUUCUUCAAAUCUUUUGGAAAUCUUUUUUACAGAAUCUCUUUUCACAAUUAUAUCUAAUAUAUAUUUUUUGUGCAUUUUAAAUUUCCUUAUGUCUACACCACACAAUUUUUUUUUUAAUGCUACUGCAUCUUUUGGAAAGCAUACUCAAAAUAUGAUUAAGCAUAAUGCAUAAGUGCUUGGGGGUGUCUAACUUCUUGAGGCAAUAAUACUCAGCUAUUUGGCUUGUUAAGAAGCCAUAUAAGAAAUUGAUGACGAGGUUGCUCAUCUCCCCUUGUUUUUGUAAUUUAUUUUGCUUUGCCGACUUCAAUUAAUAAUGGAAUUUUAUUUCUAAUUCUCUAUACAAAAUGUUAUUAGUUGUAAACAUAAAAUGUUUUUAUAAUUUUACAGCACAAGUCUUAAUCAUAGUAUAUUAGGAUAAUGCUGUUUCUUUCAAAAUUUCACACAACAAAUCAUUUAUAAUUUGUAUUGAAUUUUAUGAGUUUAUCUGACUUUGUAAUCAUUUCUUUCAAUUUUACAUUCUCACUUUCUCAGUCUCCCUUUUCAGCGAUUUAAUUUUCGAUAACCCUUGUUUAAUCAGUUGCAGUGAUUUAUUAUGUAGAACUCAUGCUCUUGUUUAUUACUUCAUUUUAUAUCUGAAUGUUUUUGUUUAGUUUUGAGUUAAUCCUACAAACCCUAGUUGUCAUACACAAACAAACAAGUGCACCACCAUGUGAGAUACACACACAUACUUCUAUAUGUUCUCAUUCAUAAUUUUAAUUCGGUACAUUUCCCUCUCUCUAAUUAUUUUGUACAGUUUACGCACAACAUUAUGUGUUCGAUUUAAGAGUAAAGCUGUGGCAUGCGGAGUUGUGUACGCCGCCGCUCACAGGUUUCAGGUCCCCCUUCCAGAGAAUCCACCAUGGUGGUUGGCAUUUGAUGCAGAUAAAUCUGAAAUUGACGAAGUUUGCAGAGUUCUUGCUCACCUAUACACUCUUCCAAAGGCUCAAUAUAUACCUGUCUUUAAAGAUAAUGAUUCAUUUAUGAUGACGAAGAAGGUAACAGAUUCACAUCAUGAACUUGUUAGGUAAAAGAUAUUCAUAUUUCUGACUUUUAUUUGAAAAAAAUGGUAAUCGACGUAUAAACAGUUUUUUUCCCUUUAUCAUAGGAAGUUCCUUUAGACGACAUGACCAAUAACGGAGAGGAUCUGAAACCCAAAGAUGAUGUUUCUAUGAAAGUCAUUGAUAAAGUGAAGGAUCCAAAAAAUGAGAAUGACGAUGAUAGCAAAAACACAUCAGAUAUGAGAAACAAAGAAAAAACAACAAUAAAAACUAAGGGCGGUGCAACCGCAACAGAUAUAAAUGCAGAAAGGAAUAAGGAAAGAGAGUCGAGAGACCGAGAGAGAUCAAAGGGUAGAGACCGUGAUAGGAAGAGGGAAUUUGAUGGUGGUAGAGAUAGAGGUAGAGACAGAGACAGAGAAAGGGAGACAGAUAGGAGCAGGGAAAGGCUGAAAGUUCGAAGUCAUCAUCAUUCUAUGGAGGAGAAGGAAUCAGGUAUUUAUUCACUAGCUAUACGUACUACCGACUUGGUGAUCUGACCUUUUAUACCUUAUUUAUUUAUUUAUUUAUUUAUUUAUUUUUGCAGGGCACUCAGACGAGUCGAAAUACUAUCACUCCUCACGCGGUAAGCUGAUAAAUUUAUCUAUGUGAUUCUUUUAAAACCCAAAUUUAAAACUGUGGUUUCUGAUGUUAUAAUUUACGUCUCAUUAUCAGAUCGAGUCGAUUACCACAGUUCACAUUCAUCGAGAGAGAAAGACCGUCAUAGUAGUAGGCAUCAUCCUUACCUUUAAAGACUGCAGUGUUCUCAUGUUGGAGUUAAAAAUGAUGGGUUCGACGAAAUGGGGCUCAAACUUGUGAUUUUUGAAUGCUCAUGUUUUUUUCAGAUGUUCAGUGAAUAUUUGAUUUUUUAUAUUAUGUUUUCUCCCCAUUUAUUUUUAUCUUUUGAUCUACAAUCUUUACACUGAAUAUUAUAUCAUCUUGGAAUAGUACGAAAGAACCUCUUCUAAUUUGUAAGUGAUGAACCAAACCUCCUCUCCCUGGUCCCUGGAGAUGGGCUAUGCUCAAAAAGAUUUCAAGUAUAAUUGCAAUGUACUGAAUUUACAAGAGUUCUGUCUAUUGUAUAGCAAUUAGGAAUGUGACCAUGAGUUCCACAACUCAUAAGCUCUCGAUUAAGUGCUCGAUAAGCAUGGUUUGAAACUUGGGUUUGAAAAUAAUAAUAACUUGAGAAAUUCAGGUAAAAUCUUAUUAUUUGAGAAUUAGUAAGAACUUGUAUAUUUGAUCUUUCAAUCUUUAAUAUUAAAUAUGACAGUGUUUAGUGAUUAAUGAUGUAUGUAGGGAAAAAAUUGAAGUGGUGAGUUUUAUAAAGGGUUAUAAUUAAAGUUCUUACUAGUUUAUCGAAUCGCAAAAUCGAUUAUCCGGAAAUUGAAAUCGAUGAAAAUGAGGAAAUUGAAUUUGCGAAAAAUGAAAUAAUAAAAAUUAGGUUUCUGCUUUAAAUUUCCAUUUGCAAUUUGUCGAUUAUCGUUUUCUUCCACUCUGAUUUGUAGUUCUUCUACUGUGACGGGAGGAAGAUCCGGACAAGGUGGACGUGCUUCGUCGUUGAGUGUGUUGAUUUGUCAUUUCGUCGAUGAGGUACAAAAAACUCAUUGAUUCUCAUAUAAGUCUCUAAAAUGUGACGACAAUUUUUUUUUAUAACAUUUCAGAUUAAAAAACGACUGAUGUCUUUAAUAAUCUUUUUAAAAAUUAUCUUAUGAAGUCUAUUAACGUGUUGUUUGUAUCUUUUAUAACGAGUAGGUUUUAAGUUUUAACCCAUCAAAUUUGCAGGUCUUGCUUAUUUAAUCUCUCUUGUGUAAAAAAUUAGCAAAUAAUUUAAGUUGUGGUUUUAUUUACCAAAUUCUAAAAACUAAUAAGGGUGUAGAUGAAAGUUUCACAAAUAUAAUACCAGGUAAUUUUACAGAUUUAGGGUUUUUGCGGAUCCUACCUCUCAUCUAAAUGCCCGCUAACCGUUGCUGGGAACGACUACCGCCGCUGACCGACCGACCUUCUACAGUUGGUGAGGCUUCUCUAUUUUCGAUUCUUUCACUGGAUUACAUAUGUUGUUCGAUUUGUGUUCGAUCUGGUGAUAUCAGCUUCGAUUGUUUAUGUUUAUGAACUACGAUUCUUGUUAAGUAGCUUUUUAUCGUUUUAGUGACUGGAGUAAACACGGUUUUAUCUUAACAUCAAGAACCACUACCAAUGUAUAUACAAGUUCAGAUGCAUCGCAUUCUCCUGUUUAAAUUGUAAAUUGGAUUUAAUUUGAUGCUUACUGUUUGAGUAAAAUUCUGUUUUUCUAAUUCAAAGAUUAUCAAGAACCUCUACUAAUGUAUAUACAAGUUCAGAUGCAUCGCAUUCUUCCGUUUAAAUUGUUAAUUGGUUGGAAUUUGAUGCUUACUGUUUGAAUAAAAUACUGUUUUUCCAAUUCAAAGGUUUUUAAAUUGUGGUAUCAAGAACUUCUACUGAUGUAUAUACAAGUUCAGAUGCAUCGCAUUCUCCUGUUUAAAUUGUAAAUUGGGUGGAAUUUAAUGCUUACUGUUCGGAUAAAAUACUGUUUUUCUAAUUCAAAAGUUUUUAAACUGUGGUAUCAAGAACCUCUACUAAUGUAUAUACAAGUUCAGAUGCAUCGCAUUCUUCUGUUUAAAUUAUAAAUUGGGUUUAAUUUGAUGCUUACUGUUUGUCUAAAAUACUGUUUUUCUAAUUCAGAGAUUAUCAAGAACCUCUACUAAUUUGUAUACAAGUUCAGAUGCAUCGCAUGUUUCUGUUUAAAUUGUAAAUUGGGUGGAAUUUGAUGCUUACUAUUUGAAUAAAAUACUGUUUUUCCAAUUCAAAGGUUUUUAAACUGGUAUCAAGGACCUCUACUAAUGUAUAUACAAGUUCAGAUGCAUCCCAUUCUCCUGUUUAAAUUGUAAAUUGGGUGGAAUUUGAUGCUUACUGUUUGAAUAAAAUACAGUUUUUCUAAUUCAAAGGUUUUUAAACUGUGGUAUCAAGAACCUCUACUAAUGUAUAUACAAGUUCAGAUGCAUCGCAUUCUUCUGUUUAAAUUGUAAAUUGGGCUUUUAAUUUGAUGCUUACUGUUUGAGUAAAAUACUGUUUUUCUAAUUCAAAGAUUUUAAAACUGAUGUAUUUAGGGGCAUCUUCUAUUCUGCUUGUUUGUGUUGUUGUCAUUUCGUUUUUGGUUCAAUCUAUAUUUUAUCUAGGUUUUUUCUUUCUCAAAUGAAUCGUCUCUUGUUUGAUACACUUGAUUUGAAAUUGAAAUUGAAUUUUACUCUUGCUCAUUGUUUUCAUUAUGAUUUGAAAAAUUCAAUAAUCAAUAUUGCUCUAAUGUUCUUCCAACCAUCAUCUUAGUAAUUAGUUUAUUGUGUUUGAUGUUGUUCAGUAGUUCUAUUAGUUAUCAAUGUUUUUUGAACUGUUCUUAAACAUCUUACCUCUCAGGUUCUUUCAAAAGUAUGAUUAUUAUGCUCGCCAAACUAACAUUUUCUUUGUUUUAAAAAAAGAUACUAUUGUCGAAUUUUUAGUUGAUGGUCAUUGUUGGAUUUGAAUUACAGGUGGAAAUUCAAUCGUCCAGAUUCAAUAUUCACUGCUGUGAUUCCGAAGGAGAGAGUGGGCAGUCAUCAUGGGAAGGUUUGCACAUUUUUACAAGGCUCUCAAGUUCAAAACUUGCCGGACUCUACUUUCAAAUGUUUGGAAUAAAGAAUUAACUCUCAUACAACGUCGUAUUCUCGGUACGUUGAGGAAUGAGAAACGUGUUGACACUCAGGUCUCCCGCAAGCAAAACUCAAUUCCUUACAUUAAAUUACAGACAGCACGGAAAUUGAACCUAUUUUAUCGAAACAUGCGCUCGACAGAGUGGAAGAAAGGAAGAUCACAAAGAUAUAUCCCAUUUCUACUCCAUUUAGAAACGAGACUAGAUGUUCUUCUGGUUCGUAUACACUUCUGUGAAAAUCUGGUUCAGGCAAGACAACUGAUAAGCCAUGGAAAGGUUUGUGUGAAUCAUGCCGUCACAAACAAGAUCCAUUGGAAAGUGUCGCCUGGUUCUAUUAUUUCCUGGAAAGAAGAUGCAGGAAUAACCCGACAAACUGAGGUCAGCCAUUGUAAAUAAAUGAUCCUUUUCUCUGCUUUCUGGAAUAACAUGCUUGAUUCAUGUAGCUCAAUGUGAAGACGCUUACUGGCAAGACCAUCACAGUCGAAGCCAAUUCCUCGGAUUCCGUCAAUGAUGUGAAAGAAAAAAUAGCAGCAAAAGAAGGCAUUCCUACCAACUUGCAGCAACUUGUCUAUGCUGGCCGCCGACUAGAUGAUGGUCAAGUUAUGGCGAGUUAUGCCUUUGAAAAAGGUCCCGGCCUCCACUUGGUUCUCUCUUAGUGCCGAAUUACUUGCUUGAACAAGAUUAAAAAAAAAUCUUAUCAACCAAUGCACUGCUUGGAUUUGUAUUGUCUCAACUUAGCAUAAUUUUGCUUCAUGAAUAAUUGAAUAUUUUUAACAGAUAUUUCAAACAUGAUUCCCAUCCAGGACCAUUUGUUUUUAUCCCAAUCCAGAUCUGGGCUUAUCAUGGGCCUAUUGACCCAUUUGAUCCAUAUACAAUUAAAUACCCAAUAACAUUGAAUUUAUUUUUUUUCCUUAUAUACUAUUAAGAUAUAUUUUUGGAUAUCAAUAAAAUUUUCAUAAAUAGGCAUGAUUAAGGUGAUUUGAUGAUAUAUUUGAUAUUUAAUAUUAAUUAAAAUUCAAUAUUCAUUUUUUAUAUUUUAUAUUUUAUAUUUUCUUAAACAUUGCUAAAAAUCCUAUUUAAAUCAAAAUUCCAUCCCUUCUUUUUUUUCAUUUUUUUUUGUGUUCCAAAAAUCCAAAAUGAAUAUUCCAUUGAUCACAAUUUUGAUAAUCCUUUCAUUAUCUUACAGUAGUAGUGUUUCAGAAGCCCUCAAUGUGGUAGAUUUUGGCGCGAAAGCCGGCGGCUCAAGGGACUCUACAGAUGCAUUUCUCAAAACAUGGAACGCCGCUUGCGCGUCGACGCAACCGACCAGCAUUGUCGUCCCCGGCGGUGAAUUCCUUAUAGGUGAGAUUCUUUUCGCCGGACCUUGUCGGAAUAAGAAUAUUCAGUUUCAAAUCGAAGGCUCCAUCGUCGCGCCAAUGGAUGAUAGUAGCUUCUUGAAUGCCAAUGCUUGGAUCACAUUUGAAUCGGUCGAUGGAUUGGAUAUUAACGGCGGAAUCAUCAACGGCAGAGGUAAUUCCAUUUGGGCUUGCAAGAAUGCUAAUCAUAACUCCAACAAUUGCCAACAAGGACCUAGGGUAAGCAACAAUUUUUUCAAAAAAAAUCAUAAAUCCUUUAAACCCUAAUUAUAAACCCUAAAAACCUUAUUUUUUUGUAUGUGUUGUUAUCUUAUAUUGCAGAAUCUUUUAUUUUUCAAAGGAAACAAUAUCAAUAUCAAGGGAUUAACUACCAUUGAUAGCAAUCAAUUCCAUAUCGUGAUUGAUUCUUGCACCAAUGUAAAUGUGGCCGGAGUUCAUGUCAUUGCACCGGAGACAAGUCCAAACACCGACGGAAUUCAUGUUGGUAAGAGUACCACCGUCAACAUUACAGAUUGUAAUAUAAAGACCGGCGAUGAUUGCAUAUCGAUCGGUCCCGGAACUUCAGGUCUAUUCGUCGGUAACUGUAACUGUGGUCCGGGGCAUGGGAUCAGUAUCGGAAGUCUUGGAAGUGGUGAAGAUGAUGAAAAAAAUGAUGUUGUAGAAAACAUCAGGGUUGAAGGAGCUGUUUUCACCGGAACUCAAAAUGGGGUUAGAAUAAAAACAUGGGGAAAACCCACCACCGGCAAUGUAAAUGGUGUCGUCUUCCACCAUAUUAUAAUGCAAGACGUUGAAAACCCAAUUAUCAUUGAUCAGGAAUAUUGUCCCGCCGGAAACUGCAAUAACCAGCCGUCGAGAAUUAAGAUUCAUGAUAUCACGUUCUCCGAUAUCAGAGGAACCUCGUCGUCGUUGAUCGCGAUCAAUUUUGUGUGCAGUAGUUCAACACCGUGUCAAGAUAUAAAAUUGAUCGACGUAAAACUCAAUCCCGGCAAAGAUGUUAAUGGUCAAGCGCUACAAUCUAGUUGCAAAAAUGCUCAAGGAUCAACUUCCGGCGAUGUAGCUCCGGUGUCAUGCUUCUGAAUGUUUUUCUUUUCAAAUAAUAAUUUUUAUAGGCUAGGGUAGGCCCAUUAUAUUAUUUAUGGCCCACGAUUUUCGGCCCAUCAUGUAAUCUUUCUUUCAAUCAAGUUGGUUUAUUGGUGCUUUUAGAGUAGAAGGCUCAUUAUAUUAUUUAUGGCCCAUUAUUUUAGGCCCAUCAUGUAAUUUUUCUUUCAAUAAAGUUGGUUUAUUGGUGCUUUUAGAGUAGGCCCAUUAUAUUAUUUAUGGCCCAUUAUUUUCGGCCCAUCAUGUAAUUUCUUUCAAUAAAGUUGGUUUAUUGGUGCUUUUAGAGUAGGCCCAUUAUAUUAUUUAUGGCCCAUGAAUUUCGGCCCAUCAUGUAAUCUUUCUUUUAAUCAAGUUGGUUUAUUGGUGUUUACAAAAAAAGUUAGUUUAAUGAAAUUUAAUUACUUAAAAAAAAAACCAUAGUUUUUAGAAUUUUUUUAUCGGAUAAUUUUCGGGUUGACCCGAUUAAGAUUAUUCAAAUAUUUUUUAAAAUUAAGCAAACAAAACCUAAAUUCUCGCGUCUCUGCGACUGCUCCUCAGCGACCUUACUCUUAGCUCCGUCACGGCGAACCUCAAAUUCUCGCCGUCGAUGAAUAGAUACUCAUCCUCGGAUCCUCGUUCCCAUACCUUUUCCAAGUACGAUCCUUCUUGAACAGCUUUUUACCUUCAUCUUCUGGUAGAGAAGCCGAGUCUUCUUCUUCCUCCUGUAAUAUCUUUCGUAAUCAAUCCUCAAGUAAGAAUUUCUGAUUUGUUUUUUUGAUCUUCGUAAUAGAAUUUUUUGUGUGUGUAAUUGUAUCCAUCAAAUGAGAAUGUUCGAUGUUGGAAUUAGGAUUUUUUUAGGGUUGGGAAUUUUAGGUUUUUUCUUCUUCUGUUCUAUUGUUCUGAUAUUGUUUUUGUUGUUAAUGAUGGUGACAAAUAGGCAGAUUUAGUUGUAUAGAAUUUGGAAACAGCAGCAGUAUAAAUGGAUUCCGUAAAUGGGUUGAUUUCUAAAUCAUUAUGUCAACAGCCACUCUUUUCCUUUGGAGUUAUUGCUGAUGUCCAGUAUGCAGAUAUUCCUGAUGGUCAUUCAUUCCUUGGUGUUCCUCGAUACUACCGCCAUAGUAUUCUGGUUCUACAAAGGGCAAUUAAAAAAUGGAACACUUGUUCCAACCUCCAAUUCUCCAUAAACUUUGGAGACAUAGUUGAUGGUUUUUGCCCUAAAGAUGAUUCAUUGACGGCUGUUCGAAAAGUUCUUGAAGAGUUUGCGACCUUUAAUGGUCCUGUUUACCACAUGAUUGGUAACCACUGUUUGUACAACCUGGCUCGAUGUGAGUUAACUUCACUCUUUAAGAUACCCUCGAUCGAUGGGUCUGCGCAUUACGACUUCUCCCCGACACCUGGAUACAGGAUAGUGGUUCUUGAUGCCUAUGACAUCAGUGCAUUAGGUUGGCCUCAUGAUCAUCCAAAGACUCUGGCUGCAAAAUUGAUUUUGGACGAGAAGAAUCCCAAUACUGACAAGAACAGUCCAGAGGGAAUGAUGGGACUUGAUCAAAGGUUCCUGAUGUUUAAUGGCGCUGUAGGUGAAAAACAGCUGAAAUGGCUCGAUGAUAUACUCAAAGAAUCGACGGAAAAAGAACAAAAGGUCAUUGUGUGCUGUCAUAUUCCAUUGAAUCCUGAUGUCACACCACUGGCAGCACUCCUGUGGAACUAUGACGAGGUUAUGGAAGUGAUUUACAGAUACAAGUGUGUGAAAGCUUGUCUUGCUGGUCAUGCUCAUGAGGGCGGCCAUUCAAUUGAUUCUCAUGGCAUUCAUCAUCGCGUUCUUGAAGCUGCACUAGAGUGUCCUCCUGGUUUCGAUGCUUUUGGGCAUAUUGACGUCUAUGAUGACAGGAUACAUCUUAUUGGCAGCAAUCGAUUGGCAAAUACAGAGAUGGUUUUCACUUCUUAAGAAUUCUGCUCUGAUUGUAAUAAAUUUUCUCUGAUAGAUAAUAUUCAAUAAACAAAUCAUCAAUGUUUGUUUGUAACUUUGUUUGUAUUUAGAUGACUCUCUAUAAUAAUUAAUAUAAGAAAAGGUAACAAAAUGGUUGAUAUAGAUUAAUUUUUUUGCAAAGUAGCAAAUGAAAAAUAAUUACUGCAGGUUUGCAAUGGAAAAAGUUUGCAAGAAAUAAAUACUUAAUUGCCUUCCAUUGUACUACUAUCUUCCUUCUAAAGUAUUACAAAUCUCAGCAGAAAAAACACAGCACAUUAAUGACAUUAUUUUUGUCUUUUUUGGUGUCAAAAAUAGUCCCCCAUUGAAACUUGUGCUACCAUCACCACAUUCUUCACCAUCUCCUCUCCCUUGAUAAAGGCCUAGAUUUAGGGUUUAAAGAACAUUAGUCCAAAUUUGAAAUGAAAUAAACCAAAGUAAAAGAAUAAUCAACAAAGAAAGAACCACCUGUUACUCUGAUUGCCAAAAAAACCUCCCUCUCUAUUUCCAGUGCGAAAACCUCUUCUUUCCUCUGACGAUCGGCUCCAUGCGUCACCUACACUCCCACGCGAACCAGGCCUUUCAUUGUAAUUUGAGCUCCUUGAUUCAUCAGGAAUGCUGGAUCUUGAUGGUGGUCUGCUGCCUGGUCCAAACUCAUUGACGGACCUCUGACCGAACUUAACUUUGUCAUCAAGGUCAUGCAUCAACUGUUCCAGUUCCUUUUCCCUUGCGAUGAUUUCAUCAUUGAGUUUGUUUAUCUCUUCACUGGAAUGUUCUGUAGAUUCACCAGUAUCUGUCAGAAUGCUUAAUGUCUUCCUGUGAUCGCUGAUCAACUCUUUUAACAUCUUUUCAUGCUCCGAUUCAAUCCUAGUAUCAUGUCAGGGAAGUAAAAUAAAAAUAUAUUCUCACCAUCAAGAUUGCAAUUAGUAAUCUAAUUCUUUCUUGUCAAUCCAAUUUUUUUAUUUAUUUUCUAUGAUUUAGUUUGGGUUUGGAUAUCCAAGUUUAAGUAGGUUAUGCUUCAAAAAAAAAAGUGAUCAACAUGUUUCCCUUGCGAAGAUUUUGCAGCCAAUGUUCAGAUUUAGCCAACGCGAUACGCUAUUAGCAGUACCGCUAAUAACACUUAAAAGAAAUAUCACAAGUUAGUGUGCGCUAUUUUAUCGCUAAAUUGCGCUAAAAUAGUGCAUGUAACUCUAUUGACAGAAAUGGAGUAAAAACUAAAAAAUAAUAAUUUAAUACUACUUUAGAUUAAUGAGCUGAUAGGUUAUAAUAGGAUAAUGGGCCAAUGAAAUAAAUGAACUAACAGAUUCUCGAAUUCUCUAUUUCUGAUCUCAGAGCACCAUUUAGAACAGAGCACAACUUCAUUCUGACGUCCUUCAGCCAUUCAGAGCACCAACUUAUAACAGAAGAAAGCUAGCUAAUAAAGUAAUGAGAAUUAGUUAUGUUCAGAUAAUAAUACUAUAUUCAUUAGGAUCGACAGGUUUAAAAUGCACCAAGGCGUGGUACGCCAAUAAGACAGUAACCAAUGCCUUGAUGCAUUAAAAAUACAUAUACUCAAUGCAUGUGCCUAAUGCACCCCAUGCAUUUUAUAUAUAUUACAUAUAAAUUACAGAGUACAGAAAAAAAGGAAAAGAAGUGUGGAAUCGUGUCGAAAUAUGAAAGAGCCUUCAUAAUAGAAUUUGCAAAAUACAAAUCUUAUAUCUCAACUGAUAAGAAAAAUGGAUGGAAAAAAUCAUUCAUUUUUUCUUUUUAUUUAGGUUAUUAUUUGGGUAAUUAGGCGAAUCAAAAGCACCUGAAUACCCGAUUAAUUGAGGAGAGGGAAAAGUUUGACUCCUCCUGCGCUUAAGUGUACAAGGGUGCUGUUGGUGCCAUGGACUGCGGCCCAUGGACCAAACAGGGCCUGUCGGCGGCCCAGGCGAGUGGACGGGCCCAACGCAUGAGCCCACGAGGCCCGAGGUCGGCGAUAGGAGGCUAUAAAUACCUCCCCUGGUCCAACAGGGGAGGGGGUUGAUAAAUCUAGAGAGUGAACUUGCACUGAGUUGUGGUUGUGAGCUUACUCCGGCGAGCCCACACACCAACAAGUGCAUAAUACAAUCUUAUACACGAGCAUUAUAAACCACAAGUGAAUUUAACAAAUUGCCAAAAUAAAUAAUGUAAUAAAGCGAUAAGAAUUCAGGAUCCACCUUUCAACUUUAAAAAUACGAUGCUAGAACAUGUUGAUCGAUUAGGGUUUUUGUGCAAACCACAAUCCAAAAAUUUGUGAAUGAAUAUGCACACCGAAUUAGGCAAUAUGAUUCAAAGUGAUAUGAUUUGUUAAUUAAACUAAGAACUAAGAAAGAAAAAGAGUUUCACCUGUCAAUGCUGCGGUGUUCAAGUUCUAUGUCAAUUUUCCUCCAAUCCUUCCCCCUUUCCUCCAACAAAAUCUCCCUUGGCUUUGCAUCUCCAAAAGGAUUGCUCUUUGGCCGGGGCUUUACAGCCAUCUCCGGUGCCGAGUUUGUGUUCAAUGAACUUGUAGAAUCCCUUGACUGUGCGCUCCCAGGCCUACUAUUUGUUUUCUUUGUUUCAAUGUCAAUAUCAACCUUCCUCCAAUCCACACCCUUCUCUGCCAAAACUUCCUCUCUUGGUCUUGCUGCCCCAAACACGCUUGCAUGAGUCUUACCGGCUCCAUCACCACCUCCAACAGCUGCAACCACGUCAGUAGUAGCAUUCUUCUUCGGUGGAUCAAGGACCAACCUUGUUCUGACUCGGUCACCAUUUAUCCUAGUCACACCUCCAAAAUCUCCAGCACUUCCACCCCCAAAAUCUCUUCCUCUAGCCCACCUGUCAGAAUCAGCUGACCCUGAAGAAGAAUCAUGAAAUCCAAAUCCAGAACCCCUGGCAGGGGGGAUCAUCUGUUUUUUUCCAGCACCCCAAUUGUCUACUUCAUCCGCCCUCAUUCCUCCUCCACCACCACCAUUUCCAAGAUUCUCAUAUCGAUCACGCGAUUCACGGCGUGGCAUAUCCCCAGCAAAACUCUUCUUUCCAGCACCCCAAUUGUCAGCAUCAUCAGCCCUGGAAGAAACUUGUUCAUAUCCAGAUCUCGCCCCUUCCUCUCCAAACCCAGUACCAUAACCUCUCCUCCCUUCACCCUCAUCCCUCCUUCCUCCUCCUCCUCCUCCACCAUAAGAUCCGUAGUUCCGAAAUCCACCACCGUGCCUUCCCUGCUCAAUCUCUUCCGCCGUCCUCUCUCUCGGACCGGUGGGCAACCUAAGAAUCUCAUCCGGAGUCAAUCCCUUUGCUUCGAUAAUCGGAUCCCUUCCCGACCUUCCAAAUCCAGGACCGACAUGAGCCCCAGUCGUGAACUCCGACAAAGACAACUUCGUCCCCUUGUUCUUCUUCUUAGGUUUCACCGCAACCGCCUCUUUAAGGCUCGGGAAAGACUGAGACGGCGGCUCUAUGAUUUCGUCUGCCUCCGCUUGUUCCGCUUCCAACGCCCACGAUCCCAUCCCUCCGCCCCAUGGUUUGGUACUCGGAUUCGACGCCAUCGUCGGAAUUAGGGUUUUUUCCCCCUUCUCUCGUAUCAAGAUCUCUGUGUACGUCCUAUUGCAGUCCGAGCGUAUACUCUGCUAUAAUACACCGUUCCGAAAAAAUUCUUUGAUGUAAUUAUCAUUUAUAGUUUUUUUUUUCGAUCUUUAUUUAUAGUAAAUUCAUGCAAGGAUCAUUUUGUAAAUAUCCCAUCCAACCAUUCCAAUUAUUCCAUACAUGUAAAUAGAUAUGUAAACAAUUAAACAUAAGGAUAAAGAAUCAUUUAGAUUGCAAGGAAUCAUUUAACAAACUAGAUCUAAGAUUCGUAAAAAAAACAUCGUGUUCGUGUAAUAAGAUGAAACACGACAUUCGGUUAAGUGUUUGUCUUUAAAAACACGACACGAUAAGUUUAUAAGAUGAAAGACAUUUUAUAAAAAAAUUUAUUUUGUGUUCGUGUCGUGUUCGUGUCAGUUUGACGACAGAUCGUGUUCAUGUAAUGUUCUUGUCGAUGAAAAAAUUAAUCGUAUUAGUAGUGUUCGUGUCGUGUAGUGUUACAUGAAUUAUCAGGCCUAGAUGUAACCGUCUGACCGAUAAUAUAUUAUAUGACUCUUGUAUAUCACCUUCCGUUAUAAAAAAACAUCGACAAAAGGCAAAAAUAAAAUUACCAUAGGGACAUUAGCUCAACUGUAUAGGUUCACGUGAUUCUUAGAAAGGAAUCUAGUGGAUAAAUGUUUGAAUUGUAGGACCAAUAGUACGAUUGUGUGGAGAUCUGAUGAUAUUUCGACAAACAAGUUGGGAGGAAUGAUGGAAAGUAUUAAAGAUAGAAAACAUAAAAACAUGUUAGCUAAGAAAAUUUGGUUGAAAAUGCUGACAAAAUUCUCUAUUCUCUUGUGAAAGAGUGAAAUUGGACCACCUAAACAAAUUCAGAAAGUUAAAAAUUAAAAAGUGCAAAUACUUGCUGUUGGCUUUUUAUGCAAUUUGAAAGAUGAAUUUAGGAGUCAUCUUUUUUUCAACUGUUUUUAUUUCAGAUAUCUCUUAAUUCCAUUGGCUGAACACCUGGAUCUCGUUUUCUGAAAAAUAAUGAAUAUUCCAGUUCCCACCCAAUCCAGUCUAGAUAUUAGACUGAGGGAUAUGACGGAAGCUGCGUAAAAAAUUACGCAUCACUCUCCCCCUUGGGGGCUACUAUGGAAUGUUAUUGGGUUUUUGUCAUGACAUACAUGAAUGGAAAUAAAAUAUACAUACAACAUGUUAGUAGAUCGAUCUCUUGAGGUAGUCUUUAAGAAGGUCAUUAAAGACAUCAGUCUCUCCUGUGAUCCGGAGUGUUACAAAAAAAGUGUUGUUACUUGUCAUUUUUUUGGAAACAUUUAUAAUGGAAGUAUAAGAGAUCAACUUUCUGAGACAGCAUAUCUAGUUACUGUAUAGUUAAUAGUUAUAGUUAAUAGGAGAGAGUCAAUAAACUUGUUGUUCAUUUUUUUUACUUUUGUUUUUAUUUCUAUAAUCUAUAUAAUUGUUUUUAAAAAAAAACCGAUCACGUUAACUAUUAAAUUUUCUGAGAGUCUCAUUGUGUAAGCAUUUUCUUUAAAAUUGAGUUAAUUCAGUUACAUUGUGUACGCAGUCUUGUAUACGGAAUUAACGAAUUUUCCAUCUUUUAUUUUUAAAAAGAGGUUGGGUCACUUUCGAAAUUUUCCCAUAUAAAAUAAUACAAUAACUUGUAAACAUUACUUGUGCGAUUGGCAGUUAUUAUAUAUAUAUUACCGAGUUGAGUUGGUGAUAAGGAAGAACAACAAGUGAUUGGUGUAACUGUUAUUAUAGGAAUUAGGAAGCGACGUUUUUUGAACACUUGUGUUACUAACCCUUGAUUCACUACAAUGGACUGCCCUUUUUUUAUAACGGAGGGUAUCUCUCUACAGAUGUAAAGUUGUCAACAUCCAGAUCGAUGAUAUAUCAGAGCCACAUAUAUAAUAUAUCAGAGCCACAUAUAUAAUAUAUCAUCGGACAAAUUUAAGUAGAAAUGUACAAAAUAAGAUUCGAAUCUUGUACAUCAGAAACCUUAAUAUAUAGUUUCUGAGACCAUUGAGUCAACCUUACUUUGUAAAAUCUUUACAAUCCUGGACUGGCUGGUGUAUCCUAAACUGCCCUAAGGCUUACAUCAGCUAAUUUAUUAUUUUAUUUAUAUUGAUGGGUUAAUGACAAAAAUAUAUAUAUAAAAAAUCACAUCAGAAAUUAGUUAUUUUAAUUAUAUUAUUGUUUGUUUCCAUAUAUAUAUUAUAUCUUAUUGGAAUCAAAUCUUAUAAAUAAAUAAUAAGGAAUUGAUCAGAUACGACCGGAUUCAGUGUGUCUAAUUACUCUAACCCUAACCCUAACCCUAACAACAAUCAAAUUCUAACUUAAAUUGAUAUUAAUCUCAAUUAUAUGUUAAAGACGUACAAAAUAAAUUAUACCUGAAAUGAUUUCAGAUAACGUAAACCCUAGAGUUAUCAAUUGUAAAUAAACCCUAGCUAGAUCGUCAAUAAAAGUUCAACAUAUAUAAAAUGUCUGUUUCCCCGGCCCUCUCUAAUGACUUGUCGAUUAAAUUUAAUUUGAUCUGACGUCAGAUAUAAAUUUAAGAUAUUAUCGUUUAGUUAUAAUUAAAAACCAAUGGAUAUUUUUUAUACUCUUCCAUAAAAUCUGGUUGUCCAUGGAAUAUAUGCUAAUAACAGAAAGACGGUUGAGUAAUAAACCAAUAAAUACAUGCAAACUAGAUACGAAAAUAAGACAACAAUAAGAUACCACCUAUCGUGAUCGUACCUACUACCUAGCUAGAUAGAUACAGGUCUCUAUCGACCUAAUAAUUUCCAGUGGUAUAUUUAAACAACACGUACAGAAUCUUGCUAGCUUCACCAUCAACUUCGGUAGAUCAAGAAGAUAUAAAAAUGGCUGAUAAGAAGAUGAUUGUUUUGGUGGCAUUGAUGGUUGUUGCAGCAGUAAGCGUAGUGGAUGGUCAGAGAAUUUGCAAUAUAAGCCGGACUGAAUUCGAUGAGUGUUUGCCAGCGAUGAUCGCUCCAGACCCAACUUUUCCAUCAAAGAGAUGUUGUGAGAAUAUUCACAAUGCUGACUUGCCUUGCAUGUGCUCUUACAAGGAUUCCUACCUUGCAACCACCGUUCUUCAGGUUGACACAGAACUCGCCAUGAAGAUCCCCAAAAAGUGUGGGCGUGUUCUGCCAUCCCCGUGUUGAUCGAUCAAUUAACCAUUCUUGGAACAUAUAUAUGAUUUUGUGCAUUUUGGAUUUUAUCUUUGGUUUAAUUUGUUCACAUAAAAUAGGUUGGUAACUCUUGUUGUUUUAUUUUCAAUGUUUCAUUAUGUAUUUAUUCAUUUUCAAUUUAUUCAAUACCAUAUUUGUUAAUUAUAAACCCUAAAUAACUCUUGUUGUAUUUAGGGUUUCGCUAUUUCAUAUUAUUUUGUUAUAAUUUGUGCUCGAAAAAUAUAUAUAAUCGUUUAUAGUGUUCACUUAACAUAUAUCAUUAGGUAAAUAUGAAACAAGCGGAUUAAUAUCAGUAAGUAUGUGAUUAGGUUUUAAUAAUUAAGGAAAUUAAGUAUCAUAGUAAUAGAGAAGAAUAAGUUAAUUAAUAACAUUUUUUUUUGUAUCUGAUGAUACCCUCGACCUACUAGAGUGGCCCAACAGGAGCAUGAACGGACCAGACCCAUAGGGGGGAGUACUGAGGAUAUACCCUUGGCCCACUGGUUGUUAUAAUUAACUAGAUAGACUUUGUUAAAUCUUUCACUACUCAAUGACGAUUAGAGAAUAAUCCGCGUGUCUUCUAUGGUUUCUCUAGUAUAUAUGCCUAAUGCCCAUGUCACUGUUGCAAUAGUAAGCCAAGUAAGCCCACAACACGAUCCACCCGCGGUCCUCCUCUGUUCGGCCUUCUUCCAUGUACCCAUCUAGUGUAGAUAGGUAAUUAGAAGGGAAAAGUUAGGUCUAAUAUCGGUAAGAAAGAUUUAUUUUCUAGUGUUUGUAAUGAUAAUAUCAGUAUCAAAAUAUGACACAUUGUUGAGAACAAUUGGAUUGAAAAAAAAAUAUUUUUAAAUUUUGUUAAAUGAUUUAAAAUUAGCCCAUCAGAGAAAAAAUUUCUGGAUUCGCCGCUAAUUUGGUCGUUGGGUUUUCAUUCACCAAAUAUUAAUCAUAGGGCGUGGUUACCUAAACCAUAAUCAACCUCACCCACUCAUUCGAAAAAUUAAAGACCUUUAUGAUUUCUGCCAAAGUCUUCCAAAGAGGAAAUCCGCGAUAGGGGAAGGACGUCAAAGUCAACCAGGUUAAAGAAACCAUCGAUUUCAGUUAUUUUUAUAUAAUUGCGAAUUUGUAAUAACAAUUAGGUCGUUGUUUAAAAAAAAGAACAACUAACGAUUAUGCAGAUUAAUAAAGUCUGAAAUUUUCCAUAACCGCCUACCUUGAUUCAAUCGAUUAAGUUGGGAUCGAGUUACAUCAAUUCAAAUGUUCGCCUCUUUUCAUUAUCGUAAUUAAUCUGAUCGUUGAAUCAAAGACUCUACUAGGACAUUAAUUAAGGUGACCUCGAUAUCUGAUAUUUACUUAUCGUACCUCCGAUCUUAGAUCUGAGACAUCUUUUCUAUCAGGUUCAAUUAUUCUUGAUUGAAUUGAUCUUGAAAGUUCACACUGAUCAGAUAUAGCUAUACACUACAGGAUUCCUGGGUUUCAGCAACAAUAAAAAAUCGUCGCUAAAUGUCAAAAAUCAUCGUUAGUGAUGCAAAUACUAAAUCGACUUGUGUAGUCCAAAUUUUUUUAAUAUGCGAACUUAGAAGGAAUGAACUCUAGAUCUAAAGACGUCUUAAAUAUAAAGGUGUAAUAUAUAUAAUGGCAACACUUCAAUGCCUACCUCCGAGCGGUGAUAUAUCAGAGUCACAUAAUAUAUUAUCGGUUGCAUCGUAGUGGAAUUUAAAGAAAAUACGUACACAACAUGAUUCGAACCCCUGGACCUUUAGAAACUUUAAUAGUUAUUGUACAUCAUAUGAGCUAGUCUCCCUGUGUGAAAGAAGUUGGUCUUCCCCUCCUUGUUUUUUUGUUCCAAUUCGUAGAAAUGGUUACAAACGAUAAUAAACAGUUUUAAAAGAGAUUAUUGCAUGUACUCUUUGAUGUGGGGAAAGGAAAAUGUAAGAUUAAGUUUGGUUUGGGAGAAGACAGAAUGAAUCUGUUUAAAAUAGCUACAUUAAUGAGUUCCACUACAAGAAAAAGGAUUAUCUGUCUGCAAAAUCAUAAGUUGGUCGCUUAUAAAAAAAACGACCAACUUUUUGUUCACUAUGUUAGUCGCAAGAAACCUCGUCGUUAGUGAUCUAUAAACGACCAACUUUUUGAGUUGGUCGUUUGAAGGUGACCAACUUGGUUGGUCGCUCAAUAAAUCUAAAUAUAUUUGACCAAAUUUUUUGUGCCAACAUAAAGACGACCAACUUGGUUGGUCCCAAAAAUCUGGCACCAACAUAAGGAUAACCAAUUUAGUUGGUCGUAAAAAUUUGAUGCCAACGUUAGGGCGACUAUAUAAUUUGGUUGGUCCUAAAAAAUUGACACCAACAUAAGAGAAGAUUAGACAGCACUGGUCAAACUUAAGUGUCUUAUCCAUUUAAUAUAGUUUCAUCAGUUAAAUAUAAAUUUAAGAUAUUAUUUUUUAGUUAUAACACUUUCCUAUAAAAUCUGGUUGUCCAUGAAAUAUAUGCUAAUAACAAAAAAACGGUUGAAAAGUAAACCAAUAAAUACAUGCAAACUAGAUAUGAAAAUGAGACAACAAUAAAGCAACUCCUAUCGUCGAUCAUCGUACAUACGUAGUACUUAGCUAGAUACAGGUCUCUAUUGACCUAAUAAUUUCCAGUGGUUUAUUUAAAUAACACGUGCAUAAUCUUUCUAACUUCGGUAGAGAAGAUAUAAAAAUGGCUGAUAAGAAGAUGAUUGUUUUGGUGGCAUUGAUGGUCGUUGUAGCAGUAAGCAUAGUGGAUGGUCAGAAAGUUUGCAACAUUAGUCGGACUGAAUUCGAUGAGUGUUUGCCAGCGAUGACCGCUCCAGACCCAACUUUUCCAUCAAAGGAAUGUUGUGAGAAUAUUCACAAUGCUGACUUGCCUUGCAUGUGCUCUUACAAGGAUUCAUACCUUGCAACCACCGUUCUUCAGGUUGACACAGAACUCGCCAUGAAGAUCCCCAAAAAGUGUGGGCGUGUUCUGCCAUCGCCGUGUUGAUCGAUCAAUAAUUAACCACUCUUGGAACAUAUAUAUGAUUUUUACAUGUAUUAGAUUUUAUCUGUGAUUUAAUUUGUUCACAUUAUAAAAUCGACCGAGAUUGGAUAACUGUUGUUGUUUUAUUUACAAUGUUUCGUUAUGUAUUUAUUCAUUUUCAAUUUACUCAAUACCAUAUUUCUCAUUGGUUUUUCCAUUUCAUAUUCUUUCGUUAUAACUUGUGCUCGAAAAAUAAUAUAUAUAACCGUUCAUUAUAUAGUCGGUAAAUUAAUUAAUAUUAGUUGAAGGUUUAGGGUUAGGGUUAGGGUUAGAAUUUCAGUGUACAUAUAUUUUAAUUUUUAUUUACUUAUGUACCAUAUACCUUAUUAUAAAAACGAGUCGACUCUGCAGUGUCGCGAUUCAUCUUGACUAGGGAUACAAACGAGUCUAGUUAAGCUUUGCAGGAAUUGCUCGAACUCGAUGAGAAAUUUUUGAACUUGAACUAAGGUCGAUUAAACAAAACUCGAACUUGAACUCAAAUUUUAAAAAAAUCUGAAAUAAUUAUAAGUUAUAAUAUCUAUUGUAAGUUUUCUCGAUAAAAGAAGACAGGAGUUGAAUAAGAUGCAGGAAUAUUAUGGAAGGAGUUGAAGGUGCAUGAACAUGACGAGUUGAAAUUUUGAAGGUAGAGGACGAUUUAAUCUGUUUUCAAGAGUUGAAGGUGUUGAAGUUGGAAGACGACAAGAGUUGAAGAUGAUGUUUUAGUUGAAGGUUUAAUCUGCUUCCAGGAGUUGAAGGUGUUGAAGUUGCUAGAGUUGUAGGACGACAAGAGUUGAAGAUAUUUAUAUAGGAAGACGUUUUAGGAAUUACGAUUUAUUUAAUUUUCAACAACUUUUCUCUUUAAUAUUUUUCUUUACUAUAUCGUGAGCAAUGAUAGAUUUAAUUUCGAUUUAAAAGAAAUGAUGUGAUAGAAUGAGAAAAUAAUUAAAAAAUUAUGAUGAGCGAAUUCCAUAAAAUAACCAGGGGUUGAUGAUGAAGACUGAAAUAUCCCACCAGCACUCGCGGUGGUGCGAGCGGUCGUCUUCUCGAGUCAGAAGCUCUGGAAUCCACAAAAACCGCUCUACGUCAAGUCUUUAGUGGAGGAUCGACGAUUUAGGCGUCAAAUUGGUGAUUGCUCCGUAAAUAUCGCAUUGGAAGGUUUAGAACUGAUGUCUUAGACGUGCUCCGGGGGUCUCCUUUUAUAGGGCCUCGGGAGGCGACAUCAGCGAAGGAGAUCACGCCUGGGCCAUAAUUACGCCAGACUGGACGCAGGUAAUGGCCCCUAAAUCGGUGAUUUAGAGUGGAAUCGACGAGUUGAAGGAAAAAUCGCGAAAUUUCCAGGACUCUGGUGACCUUCUCCCAAAAUCGACGAUUUACCUCAUCAAAUCGGCAAUUUGGGGGGCUGACUUUUGUCUCAACAUGGACCUUUGGUUUCGCUUCCGUGGAAGCCUUCUGGGGGUCCAACAUAUAGCGAACGGAACCUUGGUUCUUGUUGAUGAAAAGGACAGGUGUACAAUCUUGUAUCACCAAGUGACUUUACUCAUUUUUGGAUUUUCCGAACCACCGUUAAUGUAAAAAUCAACGGUGAAUUCAUAGGCAGCCUUCAAUGAAGAUAAGAGGCUCAACCUCUUUUGAAAUUUACCCUAUUAAUAAAGUGUAUAAAACCCGGGUCAGAUUGGGCUUUAGGCCGACCUGGAUUUGAUCCAAAAAAUGAUCGGGUCACUGGGUCAGAAUUAAAUUUACAUUCGAAAAAUUAGGUAAAUGACACGGUCCUAAUUAAUGACCAAUCGGGGCCAGGUAACAAACAGGCCGAUCCAGACCCAUUCUCAUCCCUAAUCUUUUUACACUCAACGUGAAGUUGGGCCAUUUCAAAUACCCCUUUGGAUGUGCAUGAUUCAUGGUUCUUGCACAGCAGUACAAAGAUACUUUCUUGAAUCUGAUUAUAUAUUGUUGGUGCCAUGCAUGGCUCAUUCAGCGGAUCAUGGACCGAACAGAUCACGAGCCCGACCGGGCGAUGGGCCUGAGCCAAAGGAGGCCUAGGAGACCAAGGGACCCUGGAACGAAUCCCAUCAUAAAUACCUCCCCUGGUCUAACAGGGGGAGGGGCUGGAAAAUAGAAAAGAGAAUACACUAGAGAGAGUUGUGUGCGUCUGUGAGCGACCGAUUUGUAACCCCACACACCAUCAUAUAUGAUGAGUAUGUUGUUACACAUUCCAGUGGUGCAAUAUUUUAUCGUUAAGUUGCUAUGACUGUCAGUGCAUGACCUAACUCUCUAUGCAGUAGAAUUUGAUAUUUGACAAAAUCUAAACUUUUGCAUUUUGUAUAUGAUUUUUUUUACAUAACGAGACUCGAACUCUGGACCGUCAGAAACCUUAAAUACUGAUUUUUAAAAAAGAAUUGAACACAAAUACAUUUAUUUUUUCAACAACAUAAUUGACAAAAUUUCAAUAACCUGAAAAUUUAUGAAGGGUAUUCGGUAUCCCCUCACAUUCAAUCUUGCACCUAUUCUAGCUUCUCCCAUACUUAGGUAUAUAUAUCCUUUACAUUUUCUUCCAUAAAUAACUUUUUUGAGAGGGGAUUUUCUUGUUGGGGAUUAUUAAUGGAAAUUCGUCACUAAAUCAUAGAUGUUGAAUUCGUCACUAAAAGUCAACCAUACAAUGUCUUUUUUUGGUGUCUUAUCCAUUUAAUCUAGUUUAAUCAGUUAAAUAUAAAUUCAAGAUGUUAUCUUUUAGUUAUAACACUUUUUCCAUAAAAUCUGGUUGUCCGUGCAAUAUAUGCUAAUAACAAAAAGACGGUUGAAAAGUAAACCAAUAAAUACAUGCAAACUAGAUACGAAAAUAAGACAACAAUAACAUACCACCUAUCGUGAUCGUGCCUAUUACCCUAGCUAGAUAGAAUAUACAGGUCUCUAUCGACCUAAUAAUUUCCAGUGGUAUAUUUGAACAACACGUGCAGAAUCUUGCUAGCUUCACCAUCAACUUCGGUAGAGAAGAUAUAAAAAUGGUUGAUAAGAAGAUGAUUGUUUUGGUGGCAUUGAUGGUCGUUGCAGCAGUAAGUAUAGUGGAUAGUCAGAAAGUUUGCAACAUAAGCCGGGCUGAAUUCAAUGAGUGUUGGCCAGCGAUGACUGCUCCAAACCCAACUUUACCAUCAAAUCAAUGUUGCGAGAAUAUUCGCAAUGCUGACUUGCCUUGCAUGUGCUCUUACAAGGAUUCAUACCUUGCAUCCACCGUUCUUCAGGUUGACACAGAACUCGCCAUGAAGCUCCCAAAAAAGUGUGGACUUGUUCUGCCUUCCCCGUGUUGAUCGAUCAAUUGACCAUUCUUGGAACAUAUAUGUGAUGUUGGAUUUUAUUUGUCGUUUUUUCAAAUAAAAUCGAUAGAAGUUGGUAAUUGUUGUUGUUUUGUAUUUCAGUUAAUGUUUCGUUAUGUAUUUAUUCAUUUUCAAUUUACUCAAUAACAUAUUUCUCAUUGGUUUCGCAAUUUCAUAUUACACUGUCAUACAUAUAUCUCUCGUCCGUCAUCUUCAAUCUUCGAUCUCUUAAAAGAAUCUCGUUCGACGACUGCUAAUUUCUUAAA